ensembl:lncRNA
GGAACAUUUCAGAAAAGCUUCUUAUGUGACACACUGGGAAAAUAAGCAUUCACACGCUGCCAAGACUGGAAGGUUGAGCCUGUAGAGAACUGGACUGCUGGGGAGGUCACAGAUUUAUGAUCUGACAUCAGUUCUGUCGUGGGUUACCUCCUAGUGAAGAGACUCAGAAGCUGGAACCAGGGGAGUCCAUUAGGCCCUCUGCAUUCAUCCACAGCAAAAAGUAAACCUUUAUUUUUGCAACAUAGAGGAAGAAAACUCUCCUCAAAAGACUCCAAAACCCAAAGGAAAAUAAAAGGAAAUUGACUUUUUUUUUUUUUUUUUUUAAGAAGUCUCAGAAUCUUUAAGCCAUGGUAAGGAUUUUGGAAGGCAUUGGAGCUUUGAUACUCCAAACUGUCAAUACUGCCUUUAUGCAGAAUGUGCACUACACAAGUCACAGAAAUUAAGAGCAGAAAUUUCUCAUAGAAAUUAAGAGCAGAGACUGUCUGCUUUUGCUUUGCCAGACCUUUCAGUCUGUUUCUUGUUCCUUUGGUUCAAGUAGUAGCACGGAGAGAAGAUGCUGCCCACUUCAUCUUGGCUGUCUUUUGAGAUUGCCCAGCCCUCAUUCCUUUGCUAAUGAGGCACCCAGUGAUAACUCACUGCUUACAUGAAAGCUGGUGUCACCAUACAGUACAUAUAUGGAUUUCGUUUUCAUUUAAAUGUGAACUCAUGAACACAG